ensembl:lncRNA
AAAGAUCCUUUGCUUUUUUGCAGUCACUGCUGAAGAAGGCUCUGAAUUUUGAAAGCAGCUUCAGAAAAGAACUUUACAAAAAGUAUAGGAAGUUCCCAACUACCUGACACUUAAUGCUGUGAAACUACUGCUGAGUUCUAAAAUGCAAGCCAACAUCCCAAAUCAAAGCCAAGAUAUGAGUACUACCUGCCUGCCAGGUAUGAAAUUCUAUACUGCGGUGACAGUGUUUCUAAUCAAGAAUUGUUGGACUAAAGAAGCAUCUCUCAUAUUCUCUGAAAACAGUAGUUGAAGAGAAUUAAAAACAACAACAACAACAACAAAAAGAUGGCAGGCAGAAAGUGUUACAAGAAGUCACAUACAAACUCCAGCCCCCAUUGAGACACUGAAUGGCUGCUCUCAGAUCUCCCCAGAGCCUUCUCCAAGUUGAACAGCCCCAGCUCUCUCAGUCUGUUCUCAUAGGAGAUGUGUUUCAUCCGUUGGAACAUUUGUGUCCCUCCUCUGUUUGUGCACCAGCAGGUCCAUGUCUCUCCUGUACUGAGGACUCCACAGUUGGAUGCAGUACUCCAGGUAAGGUCUCACCAGCACAGAGCAGAAGGGCAGGAUCACCUCCCACAUUUCUUUGGAUGCUCCACUGAGUAUUCUUAGCUCCAAUACAUUUUUCCUGUUUAAUGAUUGUGUAUCCUUACAGUCGACAAAGCAAAUAAGCAUCAGAAGGUGUCUUUAGAACAGUCCCAUUUAUCUGAAUGGAACGAUUAACAAGAAAUAUAUUUGUGUAUGGAGUAGCAAGCAGACUUACUCUUACUUUGGCUGGUAAUGCAGCAUAAAUUUCGUUAACUGGAGAUAACCAUUAAGCUCUAUUAAACCCUUGUACUAUCCAACUUUGUUGUUAUGUAUAUAAGUUUGUG